rnacentral:lncRNA from 1 species
UUACCGGCUGAAUCAGCUGUUUUAACCGCUUCUCCCGAUCGUACGAGAACAUUAUGGUUAAUGCCUUAGUAGUUCACCCCCAUUCGUUGUAACAGGGACUUUCUAUACUAAGUAUAUACUUGACUGUAUUUAAAGUCCCUGUUUUUAGUUAUAUACAUGUCUGUUCAGCUUUCAACAAUAUUGAAAUUCAAGGUCCUCGAUAAAAAAAUUAUCCUUCGUUCCAUGAUCUUAGUUGCUUCAUAUGGUUUUUUUUAACUUACCAGUUUGAUUUCUAAUAAAAAUAUCUUUAAAUACAGGUAAUAAUUGUUUGCAUAAAAAUUGCUUUUAGGAUCCAGCAUUACUGAUAUUUCUU